UACGGUUACAUCACUUUGAAACACCGGUUCACUUACGAUCACAGAAGUUAAGCAAUUGUAAGUCUGGUCAGUACUUAGAUGGGUUGCUGCUUGGGCGUGCCGGUGGUGUA